CCUACGGGUGACAGCAGUGGGGAAUAUUGCACAAUGGGGGAAACCCUGAUGCAGCGACGCCGCGUGAGUGAAGAAGUAAUUCGUUAUGUAAAGCUCUAUGAGCAGGGAAGAAAAUGACGGUACCUGAGUAAGAAGCCCCGGCUAACUACGUGCCAGCAGCCGCGGUAAUACGGAGGGUGCAAGCGUUAUUCGGAUUUACUGGGUGUAAAGGGCGCGUAGACGGUAAAGCAAGUCUGGAGUGAAAGGCGGGGGCUAAACCCCCGGACUGCCUUUGAAACUGUACGGCUGGAGUGUGGGAGAGGUAAGUGGAAUUCCUAGUGUAGGGGUAAAAUGCGUAGAGAUUAAGAGGAAUACCAGUGGCGAAGGCGACUUACUAGACUGUAACUGACGCUGAGGCGCGAAAGCGUGGGGAGCAAACAGGAUUAGAUACCCCAGUAGUC
rnacentral:rRNA from 1 species